rnacentral:rRNA from 1 species
GAGUAACACGUGGGCAAUCUGCCCUUCACUCUGGGACAAGCCCUGGAAACGGGGUCUAAUACCGGAUAAUACUUCUGCCUGCAUGGGUGGGGGUUGAAAGCUCCGGCGGUGAAGGAUGAGCCCGCGGCCUAUCAGCUUGUUGGUGGGGUAAUGGCCUACCAAGGCGACGACGGGUAGCCGGCCUGAGAGGGCGACCGGCCACACUGGGACUGAGACACGGCCCAGACUCCUACGGGAGGCAGCAGUGGGGAAUAUUGCACAAUGGGCGAAAGCCUGAUGCAGCGACGCCGCGUGAGGGAUGACGGCCUUCGGGUUGUAAACCUCUUUCAGCAGGGAAGAAGCGCAAGUGACGGUACCUGCAGAAGAAGCGCCGGCUAACUACGUGC